rnacentral:rRNA from 1 species
GUGGGGGAUAUUGCACAAUGGAGGAAACUCUGAUGCAGCGACGCCGCGUGAGUGAAGAAGUAUUUCGGUAUGUAAAGCUCUAUCAGCAGGGAAGAAAGGCUCGUAAGAGAGAUGACGGUACCUGACUAAGAAGCCCCGGCUAACUACGUGCCAGCAGCCGCGGUAAUACGUAGGGGGCAAGCGUUAUCCGGAUUUACUGGGUGUAAAGGGAGCGCAGACGGUUAUGCAAGUCUGAAGUGAAACCCCACGGCUCAACCGUGGGCUUGCUUUGGAAACUGUAUAACUAGAGUACUGGAGAGGUAAGCGGAAUUCCUAGUGUAGCGGUGAAAUGCGUAGAUAUUAGGAGGAACAUCGGUGGCGAAGGCGGCUUACUGGACAGCAACUGACGUUGAGGCUCGAAGGCGUGGGGAGCAAACAGG